CAGUGACCACAGUGUUGAAGAGGUAUCAGACAAAAAAAUUUGGACAAGUUUGUAUUGUGAUUUUCCACUGACUGAAGAAAGCAGACAUGUGCACCACACAGCCUGUUAAGCUCCUCAGCAGCUCUUUCUGAAUUCAGCGUUGUGUGAGCAUGUCGCCUGCAGGGCAGAGCGAACUGCUGGGGAGCCCUGCUCUCUGAUUCCUCCUCCAAGAACAAACACGUAAUUUUAAGUAAAAUAUCAAAUGAUGGAGAUCUGUUUCGGUGUCAUAUAAAACAAACAAUGAAUGAUUUCCAUUUGUGCAGUGGAAAGAACAUUUUCCAGGAGUUGAAAAAUAGAAUUUA